GGGCAAUUAGCUCAGUUGGUUAGAGCGCACGAUUCACAUUCGUGAGGUCACUGGUUCGAAUCCAGUAUUGCCCACCA
rnacentral:tRNA from 1 species